rnacentral:ncRNA from 1 species
CAGAGUAAGGGGAUACGCGUAAAGUGCCUGACGUACGGGGAGUUGACGGCAGGACGAAGGAUAUCCGCGGUGUAUCCCUUGCAUCCCGCUGC